AACGAACGCUGGCGGCAGGCCUAACACAUGCAAGUCGAACGCCCGUAGCAAUACGGGAGUGGCAGACGGGUGAGUAACGCGUGGGAACGUGCCCUUCGGUUCGGAAUAACUCAGGGAAACUUGAGCUAAUACCGGAUACGUCCGUAAGGAGAAAGAUUUAUCGCCGAAGGAUCGGCCCGCGUCGGAUUAGCUAGUUGGUGAGGUAACGGCCCACCAAGGCGACGAUCCGUAGCUGGUCUGAGAGGAUGAUCAGCCACACUGGGACUGAGACACGGCCCAGACUCCUACGGGAGGCAGCAGUGGGGAAUAUUGGACAAUGGGCGAAAGCCUGAUCCAGCCAUGCCGCGUGAGUGAAGAAGGCCUUAGGGUUGUAAAGCUCUUUCAGCGGGGAAGAUAAUGACGGUACCCGCAGAAGAAGCCCCGGCUAACUUCGU
rnacentral:rRNA from 1 species